rnacentral:rRNA from 1 species
CACUCCUGCGGGAGGCAGCAGUGGGGAAUCUUGCGCAAUGGGCGAAAGCCUGACGCAGCCAUGCCGCGUGAAUGAUGAAGGUCUUAGGAUUGUAAAAUUCUUUCACCGGGGACGAUAAUGACGGUACCCGGAGAAGAAGCCCCGGCUAACUUCGUGCCAGCAGCCGCGGUAAUACGAAGGGGGCUAGCGUUGCUCGGAAUUACUGGGCGUAAAGGGAGCGUAGGCGGACAUUUAAGUCAGGGGUGAAAUCCCGGGGCUCAACCUCGGAAUUGCCUUUGAUACUGGGUGUCUUGAGUAUGAGAGAGGUGUGUGGAACUCCGAGUGUAGAGGUGAAAUUCGUAGAUAUUCGGAAGAACACCAGUGGCGAAGGCGACACACUGGCUCAUUACUGACGCUGAGGCUCGAAAGCGUGGGGAGCAAACAGGAUUAGAUACCCUAGUAGUCCCAUG